rnacentral:rRNA from 1 species
UACGUAGGGUGCAAGCGUUGUCCGGAAUUAUUGGGCGUAAAGAGCUCGUAGGCGGUUUGUCGCGUCGGCUGUGAAAACUCGGGGCUCAACCUCGAGAGGUCGGUGGAAACCGUAUGGCUAGAGUCCGGAAGAGGAGAGUGGAAUUCCCGGUGUAGCGGUGAAAUGCGUAGAUAUGCGGAGGAACACCGAUGGCGAAGGCAAUCCCCUGGACCUGUACUGACGCUCAUGCACGAAAGCGUGGGGAGCAAACAGG